UUCUAUACUAUCUUAGUCUUGUGAGUUAUCCUGUUGUUUGUGUUCAGUUAAAAAGCAUUUUGCUUGGCUGCUUUUGCCCCAGGAACUGAAUGGAGAGAAACUACCAAGUGAGUUCACCCAAAGGACACACAGCUAUAGGAAGACAUUACCAUUUAAAUCUUCAGUGGGUCAGAAUCCACAAGCGGGUCAUGGCCUGACCAAGAGCAUGUUUUCAGGCCUUAUGGAUGAGGCCUACAGAUUCUCUGUCUUUGCCAGCCAGCCUCCCCACUUUUGGCUCCAGAAGAAAGCUGGCACAGAGCUCUCCUGGACUUGGUCUUCCUGAGCUCUGACUGUUCUCCAAGAAAGCUCAGAAAACCAAUUGUAAUUACCAGUUAGGCAGUGUGCUGCCUGAAAACAUCCAUGAAAAAGACGUACCCAUUGCUAAUCCCAUGUGUGGCAGCUCUCUCAAGUGCCCAGAGAACUUCUGGAUAGCAACAGGGAUGAUAGCAACGGGGAUGGGCAGCUGACCAGCAGGCCGGGAGGUAACGGCAGAAGCGGCCGGACGGGCAAACGAUGGCACUGGACAGCAGGAGAGUGAGGCGGCGGCAGCAGCAGCAGCAGCAGCGGAGGAAAUUUUACAUUUAAUGUGCUUUAUAGGCACAUUAGCCACAUGCCUCCCUCCCUUGAGCACAGCUCUCUGGGCAUGACAGGGCUACUCUUGCUGUGGAAGAGAGGGGAGCCAGAAGCAGGGAAAUCCUGAAGACAGAGCAGUGCAUGUGAGAAGAGGUGACCGAUGACUGAACUGGUCUGCUUCAAAACAGAUUUAAAUAUAUUUGCAUUUUUAAGCAAAAUCUUGAAGGGAGGGAAAUGGGCCUAAAAUAUACAUGUAUUGUUCCGUUUAUGUUUGCAAAUAUGGCAAAUGGCAUAUCUACACCACAAGACUCUAAUGGUUUUAUUCUACUUUAAUUGUCAUGGUUUCCUCAAAGCAUUCUGGGAAUUGUAGUUUGGUGAGUAUGCUGACAAUUCUGUAUUAGAGAUCUGUAUCCCUCCUCUAGCCACCCUUUCAUGCUUCUCUGAAGAAAAAAAAAGCCUUGUAAACAAGUUUAAAUCUGUGAUGUAUAUAUUCCCAAAGAGGAGAUUGUGGCAAAGAGGAGAUUGUGGCAUCCUCCAGCUGACACAUUUUUCUCUCAUUCUCUAAGCUCACUUACUGAUGAAUUCUUGUAAGCACUUUAGAAAAGCGGGGGGGGGGGGGACACACACAUAUUUUUAUAUGUCUCCAUUUCCAUUUAAUAGACCCUUUUCUAUUUUAUGAACCCUGAUAAAUUCCACAUCCUUCACUAUUAAUUUGUGAAUAAUAUUAAACAAAAAUUCAAAUAUUCCAUUUAAAUUUAAAUCUAUGUUUACACUGUUUAUAUUAAUUACAUUAGACAUUAUCCUGCCAAACCUAAGCAUAGUUUUGGCCCACUUUGGUCCUUAAUAUCCCAAUUGACAUUAAUGAGAUGUAUAAAUGCUUAACUUUAUCUGCAUUGUGCCUGUUACUUUUUUGUAGCAUAUGUCCAUGACUAGUUCUACAUGACUCUAAAGCUGAUUGGGGUUUUCCCAUUAGACUCUCAUUUACUUCUCAUGCAUAACUUCUAUGUCAUGUAUUAGUGUAGGCUAUUGGUGCAACAAAUUAUAAAAAAAAUAUAAUAGCAGUGAAACAAAUAUGAAAAUACAUUGCAAACCCAUUGUAUGAAAUGUAAGUGUCUAUUCGUGAAGCCCUCUCCCUAGGUACACAGCAUCUUCCUCCUUCAAUUCCAAGAAAAGCAACUUGGGCAAGGAUGGUGAGUCAAAAAUGGGAAGAACAUGAACGGAUGUUGGUAGAAACAAAUAGCUUGAAAGAUGAAAAAGGUGAACCUGCCUUCUUAGUAUUAAGUAUUUUCCAGGGUGUGCUUGAAAAGCUAUUCUGGGAUUAGGAAGGUGCUGCUUGGCUUUGGUUUAGGGUGUGCCUGCCACACUGCUCCAGGUCUAUUUAAAGGUUUGGCUUCCAAGGGUGGUUAGGCCUUGACAGAAGUCCAGCUUUUUCAUAGGUGGUUAUUCCAAUCCACUUUGAAAGCAGUUACAUAUGGUAUUCGGGGCCUGAAGGAUCUAUUUUGGAAAAAUGGAGGCUACGUAUCUGAAAGAGGGUUCUACAACUGUGCAUUCCAAACAAUAAGGGUAUUCACAUGGCUGACACGGUGGGCAGGCGGUCCAUGUAUCCUACAAUGCAGCAUACGAUGAGUGCAGUGCAUUGGGGAAUACCCCUGUGAGAUGGGCACUCUAGGCGUCCGGGGACACAUCAUUCCAGCCUCCAUGUAUCCCACAAUGCACCAUGCAUUGGGGAAUACCCCUGUGAGACGGGCACUCUAGGUGCCCGUCUCUGUGAGUGCUUGAGCUGUAGUCAACCCAAGCAUACACACGAUCCCAGCAGCUGGGUUAAGGGUGCAACCCUGGCUAAAAGCCACACUUAAAUGUAAGAUUCAGCUGGGCAGGAGCACUGGGAUCCACAUGGAUCCCAGCACUUCACACAUCCAGCCUAACCAAGACUAGGCUGCCAUAGCCUGGGUUAGGCUGCUCGUGAGAACAGCCUUUAUGUCUCAUGAUGCCUUGAUAUAUAAUGAAGGACAUCUCCACAGAAGGUCAUGGGCAUGCUUGUAUGGUAAUAAGUCAACAUAGCACCUUAGCAUGGCCACACAAAUCUCUCUCUGUACAGUUCUCUGCACAGUAGAGGUGAAAAAGCGGGGCUGUAAAUGCCCAGGGUGAUGAAGUCCAUAUAGAGAAAGGGCAGUGUCCAAAACACCUGCUCCACAAAAAGCAGUGACAGGUACUGUCUGGUCAGGUACUGCUUUAUUUUCUGUUGAGCACUGAGCAUCAAAUGUGAGUAGAGGUCAGCCAAACAGAGGGUUCAUUUUUGUGAACAUUUUAUGUUACCCACAAAUUGAGGCGAUUCAGGUUAUUUUCCAAAAGGGAUUCAAAAGGCAGCUAAUGGGUUUAUGGAGAGAAGUUAUCCUCAUUGCUAAGGCAACCAGGUCAAUUCUGCCUAUUUUGCUGCGUUGCACUACAAUGGAACAGUCAUCACAGCCCCGGCCAAUGGGGACACUUCUUCCACAUAGCAGUUUCAAAUGAGGGCAAAGCACUGGCUUAAUUUGUCCUCAGUGACACUGUCAUGUAGCCACAUCUAAUUGACUAUGUGGCACAAUCUGACAUCAUUGCACUCUCCCAUGUGAUCCCUGAUUGGCUGGGAUCAUUCAGGGAAGAAAAGCCUAGCACUGGGGGUGGCUGAGUGGGGAAUAUCACUGAAGUAGAGGGGGAAACAAGAGCUGCAGAUUACUCCAAAACAAGUAAAGGUUUUGUUCCCUACAGGAGGGCAGUGAUGCACAGUCGGGCCUUUACUGUGGUGGCCCCUACCCUCUGGAACUCCCUUCCUGUGAAUGCUGUCUGUUCCCAUCCCAGCCUGCCUUUAAGUGGAUAUGGAAGACAUUUCUCUUCUGGAAGGUUUUCCCUGAUGUUUUAACUGUGUUAUGCUUUGAUAGCUCCUGAUUUUUUGGAGUUCACAAUAAUGAAGAUAUAUCGAGCAGAAAAAUAUCAGCAUGUAGUCAUAGAACACUGUAACAAAUGAUAAUACUAAAACAGGUCACAAGGGUGAAACAUGGGGUUAAAGAACAAAUAAUACCUUUUGUUCAUUUAGUAGAAUUAUGGCAAGAAGAGGUCACGAGUGCCAAACUUUUGAAGCACUCGCUUCUAAGUGGGGAGUACACGAAGAUCAGUAUUGGUCAACUUUUACAGAGGAUGUCUUGCCAACACAUGGAAAUGUAUCCCAUUUACCUCACCUCUGAAACAGAUGUGGAAGCAGGAUCAUGUAGAAACCUGAUGGAUGUUGCUUGCUCAAUUUUUUUUUAAACCUGAACCUGUCAGGCAUUAUUAAGGAGAAGGAUUAGUUUCUUGUUAACUUAAUCACAUUUGGAGCAUUUAGUCCAUUAAGUCCAGCAACCUCUCUUUGUUAAGGAUGCAUAUGUGCUAUUAGGAAUAGAUGCUAUGGAAUUUAUCCCUACACCAAGAAUUAUGGAUCUUUUGAACAUGGGAGUUGUGAAGAGGAUUAUUAUACAACACUGGAAGGACAGAUCUACCCCUGAACAUCUAUUGUGGAUAUCUGAGAUAUGUUCCUUGAUGACGUUUGAACUGGUGUUUUGUAUUUUAAUGGAAUGGCAAAGGAGGAAUUUUUAGCAAUCUGGUAUAAUUUUAAUUAGCGUUUUGAAGUCUGAUGAUAAAUAUCCCCCACAAAUAUUAGUAUUAUUUACAUUCUAUAUAUAUGUUUAACAGCAUUCUUUUUUCCUUUUCUGUUUGAUUCCUGAUUUUUUCCUCUUUUUUAUUAUGUAAUUAUGUAUGCAUAUCAUCAGGAUUUUUGUUGUUGUUUCUUUAAUUGAAAUAAAGGAGGA